CUCCCUGAUAAACACUGUUAACAAAAGCUGCAAAAAGAAGGGUCUUCACUAUGACUUGUGUUUCAACUUCUUCCUCCUUGUUCUUUAUCUUCUCAGUAGCUGUCUCUUGGAAUGUAACAUGCUGAAACUGGAAAUGCAUUUCCCCACUGCAUACUGUAAACAAAGCAUAAUCAAACUAGCUUUGAUUUGGAGCAGCAGUGCUGAUAAUGCUGACAGAAACAUAGGCUUUUGCUCUUGAAAAAGCCCUUAGGGAAUGAGGCAGUUCUGUUCAGCCCAUCUGCUUUGUCACUAUCAAUAUGCAAGGCAGACAGAUCACACUGCAGGUGUCAGACACAGAGUCAAAGGGAAAGAAUGCACCAGGUGCGACUAACUUGUGACAUUGUAAGUGAUGAUCUUCCACUGGCAGGACUAGAAAUGUAGUGCUGGCAGGCAGGGCAAAUAGUUCAAACAACAGUCAGAUUCCUGCUUAGUUCCACCUAAGGGUGGAUUCUUUUCCUUUCCCAGUGUUGAGGCCAUGAGAAACCCUGAUGGUUCCAGUCCUCAGCUGGGAAGUAAACUGAAAAACCUGGAUGUACAUGUUCUCAUUAUAGUUGUUAAGUUUCUAGUUUUUAGAGAUUUCCCAGGAGUUCGACAGUUCUGGGAAAUUUCAGACCUAUUUUGAUUGUGCGUGUGUGGAUCAGUUUUGCAACACAUGAGCAGUUAAUUCACAUCUGGAACAAAUCACACUGAAUAUUUAUGUUUCUGAGCUGUUCUGUAUGCUCUACAAAUGCAGGGUUUCUCUUCAUGCAGCAGGAGUAGAACAGACAUGAAGAAAUUCCAGACAACUGUUCAAAACCCUCAAAUUCAGUACAGGCCAAAACAAGAGGCAAGGUUCAAGUUUCAGUUUCCAUGCCUCAAGAAGCUUGGAUGAGAUCUGACUCCAGUGGGAACAUUUGGCCAAUUUCUUGCUUCUCUGUUAACUGCUUCUCAUUUUGCCACGGUCGAUGUAGAUAAACUAAAAAAAUUAAAUAUAUCUGUACUUGGCUUUUUUUUUUUUUACUUUUAAGUAAUGCUUAAAACAAAA